UCUUUAGAAGACCAGCCAUCAGGCAGAUUCUUUAGAAGACGACUAUUUCAUUGUGAGCCUAGCCACGCUUGUUAGACUUUUACAGGAUUUGGGUUUGAGAGAAAUAGAUGUUAAUUUUAAAUAUUGUGAUGUAGAUUAUUGUUCAACGGUUGUGAUAUAAAAACAUAUAGCAACAAAAAUCGUUGUACCUGUUACAUAUUUGAUGUGGUAUCCGUACUGAGAAAACACAAUGGUAAAGUCCUUAAGAAGAGAGAUACAGCAGUAACCAGUCCCGUCUCAACCAAUCCCUAGACGAUCAGGUCAAAACAAAGACAUGUGACACCUGAUCACAACGCUAAGUUUUAUUUGAUAUACAAUUGGUCAAGAGUAAUGGAGUCAAAUCCAUCAUCUACCCACAGAAUGGCAGUCUCAUUCGCGCUGUACGAUGACUCCAGGAAUAUGAUAUACAGUUGGCUACUCCAAUCCGUAAAUGGAUCCGCGAAAACCAGGUUUGAAAACAAAGUUGACGGCACUUGGGAAAGAAGAACACUUUGGCAGCAUCAAUCUCUGGAUUCGAUUCUGGGUAUAACGAACUAUGUCUAUUGGUGUGCUGCGAUCAGCGACGAAGAUGAUUCGACGUAGUUGCUUUGUUAAUGACAUCCAGAAGUACCACCACGAAACCAUUUUGUUUCGUAAAAGUCGACAAUUAAUUAUCUCUAGAAUUCAUAGAAAGCGAUAUAUUAUACAGGUUUACUGUUGAUUUAUUCUGAUCAAAUGGACACGGGGAAUAUGGCUACAGGACUGUCUUUGUUAUAGUGUUACAAAUCAAAAUCUAAAUUGGAUCUUCAAUUAAAUAAAUUACAAAAAUUA